GCGGAAGUAGCUCAGGGGUAGAGCAUCGCCUUGCCAAGGCGAUGGCCGCGGGUUCAAAUCCCGCCUUCCGCUCCA
rnacentral:tRNA from 1 species